rnacentral:lncRNA from 1 species
AUGUUUCUCAGACACAUCAAGCAAGUCCCAGCCGCAGGGCCUUUGCAUAUGCCUUUCCUCCCUCCAGGAAAAAUCUGUGCCCCUGGCAGAUGCACGGCUUGCUCUCUCUCUUCCUUCGGAUUCCUGCUUCUGUCUCCCAAGAAGAAGAAGGCUUCCUUCGGCAACCGCGACGGGGAUUCAACGCACAUAAAAAGCCAGCAGCCUGUGCCCGGCGCGCCAAGGAGCCACAUGAGAGGAGAGGAGAUUGCAAUUUCUGCCGGAACUUUCUCACAUCCCCGCGUCUGGGGCAAGAAAGUGGCGGAGAGCUGGGGAGGAGCAGGAUGGAGGAGCCUGGGAGAGAGAACACAGGAGGAAAGACAGAGGCUGAAGAGGGAAGGAGCAGGUGGGGGAGUGAGCAGGAGGCAAGGACAAGAGUCACACGAAAAACGAGGGGUGGCAGCCGAGAAAGGCUGGAGGGGCCCCAGGGGGUCUGGAUGCCAGACCUCAGCCAGGGGCUCCUGCAGGGGCUGUACCUCUUCCGGAGCCCCUUCACCCACCCACAGAGUCCGACUGUAAUUGUCCAGCAAGGGCGGCUGGGUGGCUCGGUCGGUUAAGCGACUGACUCUCGGUUUCUGCUCAGGUCCCGAUCUCACGGCUCAUGGGAUCAAGCCCCGCCUUGGGCUCUGUGCUGACAGUGCGGAGCUGCUUGGGAUCCUCUCUCUCCACCGCCUCCCCCCACCCUGUUCCUCCCCUGCUCACUCUCUCAAGA